GUCUUGUUGCUCCUUUGUUCAAUAUAGUUGGAAGAGCAUGAGACUCUUAAUCUCAGGUUCAUGGGUUCAAGUCCCACACUGGACA